rnacentral:rRNA from 1 species
GGUACCUACAGAAGAAGUCCCGGCAAACUCCGUGCCAGCAGCCGCGGUAAUACGGAGGGGGCAAGCGUUGUUCGGAAUUAUUGGGCGUAAAGGGCAUGUAGGCGGUUUGGUAAGUUAAAGGUGAAAUACCAGGGCUUAACCCUGGGGCUGCUUUUAAUACUGCAGGACUAGAGUCCGGAAGAGGAUAGCGGAAUUCCUAGUGUAGAGGUGAAAUUCGUAGAUAUUAGGAGGAACACCAGUGGCGAAGGCGGCUGUCUGGUCCGUGUACUGCACGCUGAUGGUGCGAAAGCGUGGGAGCAANCAGAU